rnacentral:ncRNA from 2 species
GGUUCCGAGGAGCGUUGCAGCGCCCCCAGCAUUGGCGGGGCGUGAGGCUCGGAGUCAUAAGCAACGACGCUCAUCCACU